AACGAACGCUGGCGGCAGGCUUAACACAUGCAAGUCGAGCGCCCCGCAAGGGGAGCGGCAGACGGGUGAGUAACGCGUGGGAAUCUACCCAUCUCUACGGAAUAACGCAUGGAAACGUGUGCUAAUACCGUAUACGUCCUUCGGGAGAAAGAUUUAUCGGAGAUGGAUGAGCCCGCGUUGGAUUAGCUAGUUGGUGGGGUAAAGGCCUACCAAGGCGACGAUUCAUAGCUGGUCUGAGAGGAUGAUCAGCCACACUGGGACUGAGACACGGCCCAGACUCCUACGGGAGGCAGCAGUGGGGAAUAUUGGACAAUGGGCGCGAGCCUGAUCCAGCCAUGCCGCGUGAGUGAUGAAGGCCCUAGGGUUGUAAAGCUCUUUCACCGGUGAAGAUAAUGACGGUAACCGGAGAAGUAGCCCCGGCUAACUUCGUGCCAGCCGCCGCAGUAAGAC
rnacentral:rRNA from 1 species